UACGUAGGUGGCGAGCGUUAUCCGGAAUUAUUGGGCGUAAAGAGCGCGCAGGUGGUUGAUUAAGUCUGAUGUGAAAGCCCACGGCUUAACCGUGGAGGGUCAUUGGAAACUGGUCGACUUGAGUGCAGAAGAGGGAAGUGGAAUUCCAUGUGUAGCGGUGAAAUGCGUAGAGAUAUGGAGGAACACCAGUGGCGAAGGCGGCUCUCUGGUCUGUAACUGACGCUGAUGUGCGAAAGCGUGGGGAUCAAACAGGAUUA
rnacentral:rRNA from 1 species